AGAGUUUGAUCCUGGCUCAGAUUGAACGCUGGCGGCAGGCUUAACACAUGCAAGUCGAGCGGGGAAGGGUAGCUUGCUACCUGACCUAGCGGCGGACGGGUGAGUAAUGCUUAGGAAUCUGCCUAUUAGUGGGGGACAACAUUCCGAAAGGAAUGCUAAUACCGCAUACGCCCUACGGGGGAAAGCACGGGAUCUUCGGACCUUGCGCUAAUAGAUGAGCCUAAGUCAGAUUAGCUAGUUGGUGGGGUAAAGGCCUACCAAGGCGACGAUCUGUAGCGGGUCUGAGAGGAUGAUCCGCCACACUGGGACUGAGACACGGCCCAGACUCCUACGGGAGGCAGCAGUGGGGAAUAUUGGACAAUGGGCGCAAGCCUGAUCCAGCCAUGCCGCGUGUGUGAAGAAGGCCUUUUGGUUGUAAAGCACUUUAAGCGAGGAGGAGGCUACUUGGAUUAAUACUCUAGGAUAGUGGACGUUACUCGCAGAAUAAGCACCGGCUAACUCUGUGCCAGCAGCCGCGGUAAUACAGAGGGUGCGAGCGUUAAUCGGAUUUACUGGGCGUAAAGCGUGCGUAGGCGGCUUCUUAAGUCGGAUGUGAAAUCCCUGAGCUUAACUUAGGAAUUGCAUUCGAUACUGGGAAGCUAGAGUAUGGGAGAGGAUGGUAGAAUUCCCGGUGUAGCGGUGAAAUGCGUAGAGAUCUGGAGGAAUAC
rnacentral:rRNA from 1 species